AGCUUUGCGAAGUGACAAUGUUAUAGGCAAUGAGGUUUAUCAGAGGCGCAAUUAUUGCUAAAUGAAAACUUUUCCCAAUACCCUGCCAUGACGACUUGAAAUAUAGUUGGCAUUGGCAAUUUUUGACGGUCUCUAUAGAGA
ensembl:snRNA U4 U4 spliceosomal RNA